UACGGGGGGGGCAAGCGUUGUUCGGAAUUACUGGGCGUAAAGGGUCUGUAGGUGGCCAACUAAGUCAGACGUGAAAUCCCUCAGCUUAACUGGGGAACUGCGUCUGAGACUGGUGAGCUUGAGUGCAGGAGAGGAACGCGGAAUUCCAGGUGUAGCGGUGAAAUGCGUAGAUAUCUGGAGGAACACCGGUGGCGAAGGCGGCGUUCUGGACUGCUACUGACACUGAGGAACGAAAGCCAGGGGAGCAAACGGG
rnacentral:rRNA from 1 species